GUAGGGAAUAUUGGGCAAUGGUCGGAAGACUGACCCAGCCAUGCCGCGUGCAGGAAGACGGCCCUCUGGGUUGUAAACUGCUUUUAUCUGGGAAGAAAAAGGCCAUGCGUGGCAAAUUGCCGGUACCAGAUGAAUAAGCACCGGCUAACUCCGUGCCAGCAGCCGCGGUAAUACGGAGGGUGCGAGCGUUGUCCGGAUUUAUUGGGUUUAAAGGGUGCGUAGGCGGCUGAUUAAGUCAGCGGUGAAAGACUUCGGCUUAACCGGAGCAGUGCCGUUGAUACUGGUUGGCUUGAGUGUCGGAGGGGUACAUGGAAUUGAUGGUGUAGCUGUGAAAUGCAUAGAUACCAUCAGGAACACCGAUAGCGAAGGCAUUGUACUGGCCGACAACUGACGCUGAUGCACGAAAGUGUGGGGAUCGAACAGGAUUAGAAACCCUAGUAGUCC
rnacentral:rRNA from 1 species